GAUGAAGAACGCAGUGAAAUGCGAUAAGUAAUGUGAAUUGCAGAAUUCAGUGAAUCAUCGAAUCUUUGAACGCACAUUGCACUCAUUAGUAUUCUAGUGAGUAUGCCUGUUCGAGCGUCAUUUCAACCCUUAAGCCUAGCUUAGUGUUGGGACUCUACCCUAACCGGUAGUUCCCCAAAAUCAGUUGGCGGAGUUCAGUCGGCUCUGAGUGUAGUAAUUUUCUCUCGCUUUAGAAGUCUUCUGGAUUACGGCCAGAAAGAGACGAGUCUCGCAUCUCGGUGCGUUUCUCAACUUUUUUUUACAAUGGUUGACCUCGGAUCAGGUAGGAAUACCCGCUGAACUUAAGCAUAUCAAUAAGCGGAGGA
rnacentral:misc_RNA from 1 species